AUAAAUAUAUUGAAGAGAAAAAAAUGGGAUCAUCACAAUCAACACCAGAGCAAUCAACACCAGUGCAACAACCAACAAUAAAUGCAGAACUGGAUAAACCAUGGAGAAAAUUUGACUGGGGCCCUUCACCAGGCUCCCGACGGGGGUGGGCGUGUGGGAGGAGGAGGAGCGCUGAAACAUCCAGGUCUGGCGGCAUGUGAUGAGGCACACCUGAUGUGAAUCACCGCCGCUGUUAAAAUGCUGAGUGCGCCUCUCCUCAGGAGACCGGUCUCUUCCCCGUGCAUGCACGCUGGUGUCCUCGUGGGUCCAGGAAGGGUGCGUGGAGGGACGAGCGCCGCCGAUGUGAUGGACGAGCUGCCGGACCCGUGGUCCGAGUGCGAGCCGCAUGGAAAUGGCUGCGGGCCAGGAUGCCGGGCCUUCUCACCCGCCUGAGGAAGUGCCGCCGCUAAGGAAUGGAUGAAGCCGCUAAAGGAAGCCGCUACCCGCCACGUUGCCGCGGACCCCCGCGGGGAGCAAGUGCGGCUGCCGGACUCCGCCCCUUACCUGGACCCUUCCCUUCUGAACACUGCCCCUCCU